AUUGAACGCUGGCGGCAUGCUUUACACAUGCAAGUCGAACGGCAGCGGGUCCUUCGGGAUGCCGGCGAGUGGCGAACGGGUGAGUAAUAUAUCGGAACGUACCUUUCAGUGGGGGAUAACGUAGCGAAAGUUACGCUAAUACCGCAUAUUCUGUGAGCAGGAAAGCAGGGGAUCGCAAGACCUUGCGCUGAUUGAGCGGCCGAUAUCAGAUUAGCUAGUUGGUGAGGUAAAGGCUCACCAAGGCGACGAUCUGUAGCGGGUCUGAGAGGAUGAUCCGCCACACUGGAACUGAGACACGGUCCAGACUCCUACGGGAGGCAGCAGUGGGGAAUUUUGGACAAUGGGCGCAAGCCUGAUCCAGCCAUGCCGCGUGAGUGAAGAAGGCCUCGGUUGUAAG
rnacentral:rRNA from 1 species